rnacentral:lncRNA from 1 species
AGGAAAAAAAAAAUCAGCAAAACUUGGUAAGACAAAGUUUCAAUCAUUGAGGAAUUCAUCAAAUUAUCAAUAGCUGCUGCAGCUAAACAACUGUGGAGUGAUUUUUGUAUUGUGUUGAUAGCUUGCCCGAGGAAUCAAAACUCGGUAAAUAUAAUGUGUAAAUUACUGUACUCAAGUUCUUGUAAAGAGAAAAGGUCUCAAAAUUGAUCUGACCAAAAAGAUGUCUCAAUUGAUGCUUUGCCGGGAAAAUCUUGAAUUUAGUGAAGUAGUUUGUGUUUGAUAUUUUAUCUGGUAAUGGUGUACUGCAGAAAAAGUAUUUACCAUCCAUUUUCCUUGUGGAGGUUGGAUUACCAUGAAGAAAUAAAGUAUACUUUUACAAUAACCUCUUUGAUUUUUCACGAGUUUCAUGUUAGCAAAUUUAUUAAUUAAUCCGGAAGUUAGAGGACUGAAAAAUGCCUUAUUUAACGCCUUGACAUGCAUGAUGUAUGCACUACUUUUGUCAAUAUCUAUCAAAGGAUUCCAUCCUUUUCAAUGAACGGA